CACGUAGGGUGCGAGCGUUGUCCGGAAUUAUUGGGCGUAAAGAGCUCGUAGGCGGUGUGUCACGUCGGCCGUGAAAACCUGCAGCUUAACUGUGGGCGUGCGGUCGAUACGGGCAUCACUGGAGUUCGGCAGGGGAGACUGGAAUUCCUGGUGUAGCGGUGAAAUGCGCAGAUAUCAGGAGGAACACCGGUGGCGAAGGCGGGUCUCUGGACAGUUCCGUGACGCUGAGGCACGGAAGGUCAGGGGAGCAAACGGG
rnacentral:rRNA from 1 species